rnacentral:lncRNA from 1 species
UUCCUCUGCAGUUUUCCUGACUGCUACAUUUCAUGAGAAGGGAUUAUUCUUGAGGGUUCUGGAGCUGCAGCCCAGGGGAGGAGCCAGUGCUGCCACUGACACCUCAGGGUCGUGGAGGUGAAAAUCCCAGAGGAACAGGUGCUCCUGUUGCAGUUUGAGGUUCCUGGAGCUGGAGACGCAGGGAGAAGAUGGCGCUGCUGUUCUAAUUUAAGGAUCAUGAAGCCGGAGACGCAGAAAGGAGCUGGUGCUGCCACUGCUCACAUCUGAGGGUUUUAGAGCUGGAGCCUGGGGGUGGAGCUGCUGCUGCCUUUGAAGUCUGAGAGUCAUUGACCUGGAGGUCCAGGAAGGAGCUGGUGCUGCUGUUCUAGUUUGAGAGUCAUGGAGCUGCAGACCCAGGGAGGAGCAAUGUUGUCAUAGUUCAAGGGUCAGGAAGCUGAUGACACAGGAAGGAGAGAUCUUGAUCUGCUUUGAGGGUCGUGGAGCUGCAGACCCAGGGAGGAGCAAUGUUGUCAUAGUUCGAGGGUCCGGAAGCUGGCAACACAGGGAGGAGAGAUCUUGUUUUAGUUUGAGGGUUGUGGAGCUGCAGACCCAGGGAGGAGCAAUGUUUUUGUAGUUCCAGGGUCCGGAAGCUGGUGACCCAGGGAGGAGAGAUCUUGUUCUAGUCUGAGGGUCGUGGAGCUGCAGAUCCAGGGAGGAGCAAUGUUGUUAUUUGGGGACUGGAAGCUGCAGACCUAGGGAGGAGAGGUCUUGUUCUAGUUUGAGGGUCAUGGAGCUGCGGACCCAGGGAGGAGCAAUGUUGUUUUAGUUCGAAGGUUCGGAAGCUGGUGACUCAGGGAGGAGAGGUCUUGUUCUAGUCUGAGGGUCGUGGAGCUGCAGAUCCAGGGAGGAGCAAUGUUGUUAUUUGAGGGACUGGAAGCUGCAGACCUAGGGAGGAGAGAUCUUGUUUUAGUUUGAGGGUCGUGGAGCUGCGGACCCAGGGAGGAGCAAUGUUUUCAUAGUUCAAGGGUCCGGAAGCUGGCGACACAGUGAGGAGAGGUCUUGUUCUAGUUUAAGGGUCGUGGAGCUGCAGACCCAGGGAGGAGCAAUGUUGUUAUUUGAGGGACUGGAAGCUGAUGACACAGGGAGGAGAGAUCUUGUUUUAGUUUGAGGGUCAUGGAGCUGGAGACCCAGGGAGGAGCAAUGUUUUCGUAGUUCGAGGGUCCGGAAGCUGGUGACCCAGGGAGGAGAGAUCUUGUUGUAGUCUGAGAGUCAUGGAGCUGCAGAUCCAGGGAGGAGCAAUGUUGUUAUUUGAGGGACUGGAAGCUGCAGACCUAGAGAGGAGAGGUCUUGUUUUAGUUUGAGGGUCGUGGAGCUGCAGACCCAGGGAGGAGCAAUGUUGUUAUUUGAGGGACUGGAAGCUGAUGACACAGGGAGGAGAGAUCUUGUUUUAGUUUGAGGGUCGUGGAGCUGCAGACCCAGGGAGGAGAGAUCUUGUUUUAGUUUGAGGGUCGUGGAGCUGCAGACCUAGGGAGGAGCCAUGUUUCCAUAGUUCAAGGGUCAGGAAGCUGGCAACACAGGGAGGAGAGGUCUGGUUCUAGUUUGAGGGUUGUGGAGCUGCAGACCCAGGGAGGAGCAAGGUUGUUUUAGUUUGAGGCUCCGGAAACUGGCGACGCAGGGUGGAGAGGUCUUGUUCUAGUUUGAGGGUGCGCCCAGGGAGGAGCAAUGCUGUCAUAGUUCGAGGGUCAGGAAGCUGAUGACACAGGGAGGAGAGAUCUUGAUCUGGAUUGAGGGUCGUGGAGCUGCAGACCCAGGCAGGAGCAAUGUUUUUGUAGUUCGAGGGUCCAGAAGCUGGCGACACAGUGAGGAGAGGUCUUUUUCUAGUUUGAGGGUCGUGGAGCUGCAGACCCAGGGAGGAGCAAUGUUGUUUUAGUUCGAAGGUUCGGAAGCUGGUGACCCAGGGAGGACAGAUCGUGUUCUAGUCUGAGGGUCGUGGAGCUGCAGAUCCAGGGAGGAGCAAUGUUGUUAUUUGAGGGACUGGAAGCUGCAGACCUAGGGAGGAGAGGUCUUGUUCUAGUUUGAGGGUCAUGGAGCUCCCGACCCAGGGAGGAGCAAUAUUUUCAUAGUUCAAGGGUCCAGAAGCUGGCGACGCAGGGAGGAGAGGUCUCAUUCUAGUUUGAGGAUCAUGGAGCUGCUGACCCAGGGAGGAGUAAUGUUUCUGUUGUUCGAGGGUCAGGAAGCUGGCGACCCAGGGAGGAGAGAUCUUGAUCUGGUUUGAGGGUUGUGGAGCUGCUGACCCAGGGAGGAGCAAUGUUGUCAUAGUUCAAGGGUCAGGAAGCUGACGACACAGGGAGGAGAGAUCUUGAUCUGGUUUGAGGGUCGUGGAGCUGCGGACCCAGGGAGGAGCAAUGUUUUCAUAGUUCGAGGGUCCGGAAGCUCGCGACCCAGGGAGUAGAGGUCUUGUUCUAGUCUGAGGGUGGUGGAGCUGGAGAUCCUUGGACGAGCUGGUGCUGCAGUUUAAAUCUGUGGAUCCUGGAGCUGGAGCCCUAGGCAUUAGCUGGUAUUGCUGUUGUUCAUAUAUGAGGGUUAUGGGGCUUGAGGUACAGGGAGGAGACGCUGCUGCUGUUCAAAUCUGCGGGUCGUGUAGCUGGAGAGCGGGGAGGAGGUAGUCCUGGUGUCUAGUGUGAGGGUGGUGGAGCUGUAGACCUGGGGAGGAGCUGGUGCUGCUGUGUAGUUUGAGGGUCAUGGAACUGGAGACCUAGGGAGGAACCAGUACUACCGCCAUUGAAGUCAGAGGGUUGUGGAUCUCGAGUUUUCGGGGACAGCCCGUGCUGCUAUGUAACUGUGGGGAGGAUCCAGUGUGUCAGGUGAUGUCUGAGGGUUUGGGAGCUGGAGACCCAGGGAGGAGCCGGUGCUCCUCUUCUAGUUUGAGGGUAGUGGAGCUGGAAAUCCUGGGAAGAGCCAGUGCUGCCAUUUAAAUCUGUGGGUCCUGGAGCUGGAACCCUUGUGGGAAGCCGGUUCUGCCAUUCAUGUCUUAGGGUCGUGGAGCUGGAAACCCAGGGAGGCAGCGGUGCUGCUGUUCUAGUUUAAGGAUCAUGAAGCUGGAGAUCUGGACAGGAGCUGGUGCUACCAUUAUUCAAAUCUGAGGGUUGUGGAGCUGGAGCCUUGGUGAGUUGCCGGUGCUGCCUCAUCUGAGAGUUGCUGAGCUGGAGAUCCAGACAGGAACCUGUGUUGCUGUUGUAGUUUGACGGUCAUGGAGCUGGAGACUCAGGGAGGAGGGGUGCGGUUCUAGUCUGAGGGUUGUGGAGCUGGAGACCCAGGGAGGAGCUGGUGCUGCUGCUGUUUAAGGCUGAAGGUUGUGGAGCUGGAGACCAGGGAGGGAGCUGCUGUUGCUGUUGAUCAAGUCAGAGGGUCAUGGGGCUUGAGGUACAGGGAGGAGCUGGUGCUGCUGUUGCAGGUUUAGGGUCAUGGAGCUGGAAAUCUAGGGAGGAGCUGCUGCUGCUGUUCAAGUUUGAGGGUCGUGUAGCUGGAGAGCGGGAAGGAGGUAGUCUUGAUGUCUAGUGUGAGGGUGGUGGAGCUAUAGACCUGGGGAGGAGCCGGUGCUGCUGUGUAGUUUGAGGGUCAUGGAACUGGAGACCUUGGGAGGAGCCAGUGCUACUGAGGGUCGUGUAUCUGGAGCUUUGGGGAACAGCCCGUGCUGCUGUUUAACUGUGGGGAGGAUCUGCUGUGUUAGUUGAAGUUUGAGGGUUUGGGAGCUGGAGACCCAGGGAGGAGCUGAUGAUGCCAUUCUAUUUUGAGGGUCAUGGAUCUGGAGACCUGGGGAGAGGCCGGUACUGCUGUUGUAGUUUGAGGUUCGUGGAACUGGAGACAGGGGGAGGAGCCGGUGCUGCUGUUCAUGUCUGAGGGUUGUAGAGCUGGAGACCCAGGGAGAAGCCCGUACUACGGCUUUUUAAGUCUGAGGGUCGUGGAGCCUGAGACCUGGGGAGGGGCCAGUGCUGCUGUUCAAAUGGCUCAUUCCGGGGUCUCCAGCUCCAUGACCUUCAAACUAGGACAGCAGCAGCAGCUCCUCCCGGGGUCUUCCAGCUCCAUGACCCUCACACUAGAACAGCAGCAGCAGCUCCUCCCGGGGUCUUCCAGCUCCAUGACCCUCACACUAGAACAGCAGCACCGGCUCCACCCUGGGUCUCCAGAUCCAUGACCCUCAAACUAGAACAGCAGCACUGACUCCUCCCCGGGUCUCCAGCUCUACAACCCUCAGACUUGAGGAGUUGGAGACUCGGGGAGGAGCCAGGGCUGCUUUUCUACUUUGAGGGUUGUGGAGCUGGAGACCCAAGAUGCAGCAGCUGCUGCUAUUCUAGUUCGAGGGUCUUGGAGCCAGAACCUUUUUGAGGAGCUGGUGCUGCCUUUCAAGUCUGAGAGUCAUUGAGCUGGAGUUCCAGGGAGGAACCGGUGUUGCUAUUCUAGUCUGAGUGUAGUGAAGCUGGAGACCCAAGGAGGAGCCGGUGCUGCUGUGUAGUUUGAGGGUCGUGGAACUGGAGACUUAGGGAGGAGUUGGUGCUAUCGCCCUUUAAGUCAGAGGGUCGUGGAUCUGGAGCUUUGGGGAACAGCCCGUGCUGCUGUUUAACUGUGGGGAGGGUCCGGUGUGUCAAUUGAAGUUUGAGAGUUUGGGAGCUGGAGACCCAGGGAGGAGCCGGUGAUGCCAUUCUAUUUUGAGGGUCGUGGAUCUGGAGACCUGGGGAGAGGCCGGUACUGCUGUUGUAGUUUGAGGUUCGUGGAACUGGAGACAGGGGGAGGGGGCGGUGCUGCUGCUGUUCAUGUCUGAGGGUUGUAGAGAUGGAGACCCAGGGAGAAGCCCGUACUACGGCUUUUUAAGUCUGAGGGUCGUGGAGCCUGAGACCCGGGGAGGGGCCAGUGCUGCUGUUCAAAUGGUUCCUCCCCGGGUCUCCAGCUCCAUGACCUUCAAACUAGGACAGCAGCACCAGCUUGGAGCCAGAAACUUUCUGAGGAGCCAGUGCUGCCUUUCAAGUCUGAGACUUGUAAGAGCUGGAGACCCAGGGAGGAACAAGUGUUGCUGUUCUAGUCUGAGGGUAGAGAAGCUGGAGACCCAAGGAGGAGCCUGUGCUGCUGUUCAUGUCUGAGGAUUGUGGAGCUGGAGAACCAGAGGGGAGCUGGUGCUGCUGAUCGUGUUUGAAGGCUGUGGAGCUGGAGAUCCCAGGAAGAGCCGGUGCUGCCGUUUAUAUCUGUGGGUCUUGGAGCUGGAGCCCUAGCGGGGAACCCGGUCCUGCCAUUCAUGUCUUAGGGUCGUGGAGCUGGAAACCUAGGGAGGUGGUGGUGCUGCUGUUCUAGUUUAAGGAUCAUGAAGCUGGAGACCUGGACAGGAGCUGGUGCUACCGCUGUUCAAAUCUGAGGGUCAUGGAGCUGGAGCCUUGGGGAGGUGCCGGUGCUGCCUCUCAAGUCUGAGGGUUGUUGAGCUGGAGAUUCAGGGAGGAGCCGGUGUUGCUGUUGUUGUUGGAGGAUUGUGGAGCUGGAGACCUAGGGAGGAGCUGGUGCUACCACCGUGUAAGUUGAGGGUUGUGGAGCUGGUGGCGCUGGGGAACAGCCAGUGCUAUAGUUGAAUUUUGAGGGAGCUGGAGACCCAGGGAGUAGCUGGUGCUGCUGUUCUAGUUUGAAGGUUGUGGAGCUGGAGGCUUGGUGGGAGCUGGAGCUGCCUCCCAAGUCUGAGAGUCAUUGAGCUGGAGAUCCCCAGGGGAGCUGGUGCUGCUGUUGUAGUUUGAGGAUUGUGGAGCUGGAGACCUGGGGCAGAGCUGGUGUUGGAGUUGGAGUUUGAGGGUCAGGGAGCUGGAGAUCUGGGGAGGAGCCAGUGCUGCUGUUUAAGUCUGAGGGUCGUGGAGCU